rnacentral:lncRNA from 1 species
GAGAAAGGCCACCACCUAGCUAGGUGAGGUGUGCCAGCAUGGUCCUGGGGGUCUCACUGUCCCCAGCCCUGGGACGCUGGUUCCGCCAUGCAAUCCCUUUCGCUAUCUUCACGCUGUUACUUCUUUAUAUCAGUGUAUGGCUCUUCCAUGAGUGGCCCUUUGAGUUGCCAGCUCAAAGAACUCAGCAGUCCGGCCUGUGGGAACUCAAGCUCUCUUCUCCUUCUCCAGCCCUCACCUCUCUGCUUCCUGUCACCUCAGGUGUUUUACCAGGCUGCAGGCCUGGGGUGCAGUCCUGCAAUCCAGAGAGAGCGCUACCUUCCCAGAUUGGCCCAGCAUUGAGACCCCUAGUGGUCCCAGAGAAGGAAGAACCUCCCUGUCUGAGGCCUCAUGGGUUGCUGGGUCGCAUGGUGAGCCCUUUCCUGGCCUGUAUGAGCCCUGAAGGCGAUGUGGAGUUAUCUCAGUAUCUGGCAGGUUGGCGAGAACUACUUAGCUGCUCCACGGCUUCAGUUGCCAGCUCUAUCCCAAGUCUCAGUCCAGAUCUGCCCUCCACACAGCCAACGCAGCAUGUCCGGCCUGAAUUCUACCUUCCUCCACCAGAAGUGCAUUUCCUUCUGCGUUCUGCUCCAACCUAAAGCCUCUCACCAUCAGGCACUCCUCCACAAGUUUAUGUGAAAGAAAGAAACCAUUUCCUAGACUAACUCCCAAAUUGUACCUCAAAUCGACUUUCUUCUGAACUCCAGAACGCUAUGUAUCAAUGGGAUAUUUGGCAUUUCCAUUUGGAUGUCAACUAGGCAUAGCACACCUGACAGGUUCAGACUGAGUUUCUAAUGCUUUGUUCUAAAAUAUUACCUUCAUUGUCACAUUAGCUCAGUAAGGAAUUCUAUUUUCCAGGUCCUCAGAUCCAAAAUCUUGUUAAACUGACUCUCCCCAUACCAACAAUGAAUCUAUGGAAAUCUGACUACUCCCCACAUUUCCCAAGUUUCAUUGUCUAAAUGAGUCUUAUGUAUCUUCUGGAUUAUCUUUUCCUUUCUUACAAUUGCACUGUCACUGAACUACAAAAAACGGUGAUUCUUUUGUU